rnacentral:tRNA from 4 species
CGCGGGGUGGAGCAGUCUGGUAGCUCGUUGGGCUCAUAACCCAAAGGUCGCAGGUUCAAAUCCUGCCCCCGCUA